GUUGGCCCUGGAAGCCACUCCAACAACUCACACUGAAGUAAAAGAAAGCUUAAACUUCUCUCCCCGAAGGGGAACCAUGCAGUUAGUGCCUUACCAGAGUUGGUUACUGGAAAACAGGAACUGUUCUUGAUAACUGAUGGGAAGCAGCGGCAGAACGAUACCAAGUCAAGGAAAAGCAUCUUCCCCUUAUGAGACCACAACGAGCAAAGAUCUCCAAUGUGUUACUCAGGUAGCUGGUGAAAGAAUUGGUGUUCGAUAGUUGGAUCCGCUCUCUAAUUGCCUUGCAUGCAACAAGAAUUGAAUACACAAUGAAAAAAGGGGCAGAUUUUUAUUGGAGAUGGCUGGCAACAACCCAGAGGAGGAGGGAAUUCAUGGACACUCAAAACGCUGCUGUAAACUUGGGAGAAUAUUUCAAAAGCUGGUAGCCGUGGAUCGUUAUGGUAGUUUGAAUCUGUUGGUGGUUCUCUAUGCUGAUCAUUCACAGUGUGUGAUUGCUGGAGACUUUGUAAAGGGAAACGCAUGGUAUAUAGGGCUCACCCAAGUCAUUUUGCUUCCUGAUGGUGCCUCCCUAAUUCUAUGCACAGAAGCCGACCAGACCUGCAGCUGAAUCUUGCUUCAACACUGAUGUUGUUUAUGAGAAGAAAUUCACACUAAAAUGCUGACAAAUUUUCCUGAAUUUUUUUUUAAAAAAUAUGUUUUUUACUGAUUUAUUGUGUUUGUUCUGUUGCUUAUGGAAUUCAGUUAUAUAUUUUAUUUAACAGUGAUUUUCUCUUUCCCCCCCCUCUCUCUGUGUAGGAGUGUGUGUAUUUGUGUUAUUCCCCGCCGUCUUGUAAAACUUCAGGAUGGUGUACACCAACAUAAAAACAUUUAAAAGCUAUACAAAACAAUCAAUAACUACUCUGGCUACUCUGGUUGAUCUCAAGGAUUGGGCUGGGAUAUAAGGGCUCAGACAGACCUUAAGGUAUCCUGGACCCAAUGGUUCACAGCUUUGUAUAUCAAUAUAAGAGCCUCCAACCUGGCCCACUAGGAUAUGGGCUGCCAGUGCAGAUGUUUUAGCAAACGUGCCACAUACUGCCAGCCAUCUGCCCCCAUCAGUACUGUAUCUGCUGCCAUUUGCACCAGCUGCAGCUUUAGGGCCAGUCCCAAGGGCAGCCCCAUAUAGAGUGCAUUGCAGUAAUCUAGUAAUAUCCAUAUGUAUACAUGUAUGAUGCUUAUUUAAAGAGCUCUAUAAGUUAUGUAGUAGUAACACUAUAAAUAAAACGGACCAAAAAUCCACACAACUAUUAAA